rnacentral:rRNA from 1 species
UUGAACGCUGGCGGCAGGCCUAACACAUGCAAGUCGAGCGGUAGCACAGAGAGCUUGCUCUCGGGUGACGAGCGGCGGACGGGUGAGUAAUGUCUGGGAAACUGCCUGAUGGAGGGGGAUAACUACUGGAAACGGUAGCUAAUACCGCAUAAUGUCGCAAGACCAAAGUGGGGGACCUUCGGGCCUCAUGCCAUCAGAUGUGCCCAGAUGGGAUUAGCUAGUAGGUGGGGUAACGGCUCACCUAGGCGACGAUCCCUAGCUGGUCUGAGAGGAUGACCAGCCACACUGGAACUGAGACACGGUCCAGACUCCUACGGGAGGCAGCAGUGGGGAAUAUUGCACAAUGGGCGCAAGCCUGAUGCAGCCAUGCCGCGUGUGUGAAGAAGGCCUUCGGGUUGUAAAGCACUUUCAGCGGGGAGGAAGGCGGUGAGGUUAAUAACCUCAUCGAUUGACGUUACCCGCAGAAGAAGCACCGGCUAACUCCGUGCCAGCAGCCGCGGUAAUACGGAGGGUGCAAGCGUUAAUCGGAAUUACUGGGCGUAAAGCGCACGCAGGCGGUCUGUCAAGUCGGAUGUGAAAUCCCCGGGCUCAACCUGGGAACUGCAUUCGAAACUGGCAGGCUAGAGUCUUGUAGAGGGGGGUAGAAUUCCAGGUGUAGCGGUGAAAUGCGUAGAGAUCUGGAGGAAUACCGGUGGCGAAGGCGGCCCCCUGGACAAAGACUGACGCUCAGGUGCGAAAGCGUGGGGAGCAAACAGGAUUAGAUACCCUGGUAGUCCACGCCGUAAACGAUGUCGAUUUGGAGGUUGUGCCCUUGAGGCGUGGCUUCCGGAGCUAACGCGUUAAAUCGACCGCCUGGGGAGUACGGCCGCAAGGUUAAAACUCAAAUGAAUUGACGGGGGCCCGCACAAGCGGUGGAGCAUGUGGUUUAAUUCGAUGCAACGCGAAGAACUUUACCUGGUCUUGACAUCCACAGAACUUUCCAGAGAUGGAUUGGUGCCUUCGGGAACUGUGAGACAGGUGCUGCAUGGCUGUCGUCAGCUCGUGUUGUGAAAUGUUGGGUUAAGUCCCGCAACGAGCGCAACCCUUAUCCUUUGUUGCCAGCGGUUAGGCCGGGAACUCAAAGGAGACUGCCAGUGAUAAACUGGAGGAAGGUGGGGAUGACGUCAAGUCAUCAUGGCCCUUACGACCAGGGCUACACACGUGCUACAAUGGCAUAUACAAAGAGAAGCGACCUCGCGAGAGCAAGCGGACCUCAUAAAGUAUGUCGUAGUCCGGAUUGGAGUCUGCAACUCGACUCCAUGAAGUCGGAAUCGCUAGUAAUCGUAGAUCAGAAUGCUACGGUGAAUACGUUCCCGGGCCUUGUACACACCGCCCGUCACACCAUGGGAGUGGGUUGCAAAAGAAGUAGGUAGCUUAACCUUCGGGAGGGCGCUUACCACUUUGUGAUUCAUGACUGGGGUG